UACGAAGGGGGCUAGCGUUGUUCGGAAUCACUGGGCGUAAAGGGCGCGUAGGCGGCUUUAUAAGUCGGGGGUGAAAGCCUGUGGCUCAACCACAGAAUUGCCUUCGAUACUGUAGAGCUUGAGACCGGAAGAGGUAAGUGGAACUGCGAGUGUAGAGGUGAAAUUCGUAGAUAUUCGCAAGAACACCAGUGGCGAAGGCGGCUCACUGGCCCGGUACUGACGCUGAGGUGCGAAAGCGUGGGGAGCAAACAGGG
rnacentral:rRNA from 1 species